rnacentral:sRNA from 1 species
GCGUUAAGCUGGUUGGGACCCGGGAAGGCCUCCCUCUUAAGGUCUUUCCCACACCUCUGCACCUUGUUGCCUGACCUUCGGCUUCAGGAUCCGCAGCGUGCACCCGCGUUCCAUCUGUCUUCUGAGACUUUGCCCUUCUCCAGGAAGAGCACUCAGGAGACCAGGAAAAUGGCCACAGGGCUCCUGAGAGCCAAAAAAGAGUGUUUAAUGAUGAACAGUUUCAGACAUAUGGAAAAAACCAGGAAGCCUUGUACAUUGAACACUCACAUACCCACCACCUAGAUUCUCAGCCUGAGCAGGCACGUGGCAGCAUUUGGUAGAGGAAGGAGUGAGCCCUGCUGUAGGAACUAUAUAUAUUGGUGAGUUAUUUGCCCCCAAGCCCCAGAGGCACCACUGCUUCAAGUAGAACAAAUACUGAGACCAAGUAGUCUCAGAAAAUUUUCAAACUCAGCAAGAUAAUUCUUUACUAUUUAGUUGUACUUGUGUGGUGUCUUCUCCCUGCCUAGUUUUAAAACUCCCUCUAGGUAAGGGCUUUGGUU